rnacentral:rRNA from 1 species
GACGAACGCUGGCGGCGCGCUUAACACAUGCAAGUCGAACGGAAAGGCCUGCUUUCCCUUGUGGAUUGCGGGUACUCGAGUGGCGAACGGGUGAGUAACACGUGAGUGAUCUGCCCCCAACUUGGGUAUAAGCCUGGGAAACUGGGUCUAAUUCCCGAUAGGACUGCAGGGUGGUGCCUGUGGUGGAAAACGAUUUUCUAGUGGUUGGGGAUGAGCUCGCGGCCUAUCAGCUUGUUGGUGGGGUAAUGGCCUACCAAGGCGGCGACGGGUAGCCGGCCUGAGAGGGUGGACGGCCACAUUGGGACUGAGAUACGGCCCAGACUCCUACGGGAGGCAGCAGUGGGGAAUAGUGCACAAUGGGCGGAAGCCUGAUGCAGCGACGCCGCGUGGGGGAUGACGGCUUUCGGGUUGUAAACUCCUUUCGACCGCGAGGAAGCCACCUGGUUGGAAGGGUGGUGACGGUAGUGGUAGAAGAAGCACCGGCUAACUACGUG